AGAUGGGGCAUUUUCUCUCAAAGCUUGAGGCAGGAGUUGUAGCUCUAAGUGGAUUGCACUUGCUGUCAGAGGAGGCUGCUGACUUCCAGAGGAGCUGUGCCUCCAUAUUACCUUCUCCGAGGACCGAAAAUUAUAUCCUGGAAAAACAUCUGAAGAUGCUCUGCUAUUGAAACAUCUCCUCCAGAAGUUUGUGACUGGAUAGCCGCUGUGUCCUCGGCAAGGAAUCAGCUCCAGGGCAGAGUUACAGUUGGGGCAGGCUUUCUCUGUGAACAGACAGAAACUGCUGAAGAGAUUGGUAAAGGACAAGGAUGCUGCCUGAGAGUAAAGAGAGCUCAAGAGCAACAUGAUCAGACUUUUCCAAAAUUCAGAUUAACAUGUAUUGUUCAAGGAAACGCAAUAUAGACUACCAAGCAUAGCUAAAUGGUAUGAACUAGAGCUGCCCGCUAGAUGUAUAUGCUAAUAAUUUAAAGGAUUUAAAUCCAUAGCCCCUUAAAUAUUUGCAAGCAGACAUUGAUGAAAUUUGGAAUUAAUCAGUCAUUGCAAUUGUGCCUUAGCCUGCACACAAGUAAGAGUGACUCCAGCUCGGAAAUCAAGCCCGGAUGAAGGAAACGGGGUCCCUUGGGCACGGCAGCUCUCUCUGGGCGCCUCUCACUUUGUUGCUUCUGCCGAGCCUUGUCGCAGAUGGCGGGGCGGAGCUGCAGCCUGGCCCCGCCGGGCAGGGCACAGCUCCGGGCGCACAGCACCACGCCCAGGCAGGACUUCUUGAGGAUCUGGCAGUUGUGGUUGUUGGUGUUGCGCAUGGCCCAGCCGCUGAGGUGCCGCUGCGCGUUCUUCUCCUCUCUCGAGUAGAUGAGCCGCACGUAGCCAUCGGGCCACUCCUGGAAGGCGUCGAAGUGCUUGGGCUCCUGCAGCGCCGCAGGUGGGGCGGCAGGGCAAGGCAGCAAGGAGAAGGGCAAGAGAACGUUAUUAGUAUAUCACAACCUAAUUUUUUGCCGUGUUGUAAGACACAUUACACCAGGGGGAAAGCUUUUUCUAUCACGAGAAAAGCAGCAGAAAAAGAUAUAUUGAAAUAAUAUCUUGUUCAGAAGUGCUCUCUAAGAGGGCUAGGAUAGUUUGAGAUUCCAUAUCUGAAGAGAAAGUCAAGAUCCUUUCCUCUUUUGCAUCAUGACCCAUUGUAGCACGGUCUGCUGAUACGUAUGCCUUUUAUAGGGAAAUUAUUUACUGACCAGUGUACUAUCAGUGUGCUCAGAUAGGACACAAGCCACCCUGAUCACGACUGCUAUUAAGUUCUCCUUGUCGUGGGACAAUGCAGCGGCAGGCAGGAAACUAGAAGUUUUAGCUAUGGAAUGGCCUUUCUAAAGUGCAUCUAAUAUGAUUUGAAUAAGGCUUUCCCCAAAAAAGAGAUAAAAAUUUAGUCAUUGCAAAUAUACUUCCAAUAUACGUAUAGUGGCACAAACAGAAAACAUUUCAUUUUGGGAUUUCACAUCUUUCAGGAGUUCAUUAUGAAAAUGUAAUUACCAGAGGUAUGAAUGAAGAUUAUAAACUGCAAAUAUUUAUAAUGCAGUACAUAUUUAACAUACGUAUGUACCACAUAUGGGAGCAAUCCCAGCAAAGAGAAUGGAGCUACAAGCAUUUACAGCAUUAAGACAUUCAUGAAGACAUAACAGCAUGGGCUUUGUAAACUUAAAUAAACUCUAAGAUGAAUAAAGUUGCAAAUUAAAAAAUGCAUUUGGAACUCACAACUGGACAAAAGUGGAGUGCUCAUUGGCAUUAAAGUGUUGCAUCAAUAAACCAAAGAAAUAAUUAGAUAACUUGGGUAAUACUAGUAAACAGUC